rnacentral:rRNA from 1 species
UACAGAGGGUGCGAGCGUUAAUCGGAAUUACUGGGCGUAAAGCGCGCGUAGGCGGCUUUGCAAGUCGGGUGUGAAAUCCCCAGGCUUAACCUGGGAACUGCAUUCGAGACUGCAUUGCUAGAGUAUGGGAGAGGGUAGCGGAAUUCCCAGUGUAUCGGUGAAAUGCGUAGAUAUUGGGAGGAACACCAGUGGCGAAGGCGGCUACCUGGACCGGUUCUGACGCUGAGGCGCGAAAGCGUGGGUAGCAAACAGG